AUUGUGGGUGAUGUAGUGAGCUCAGGCAGAGAAAAUGAAAUUAAAAGAAAAGGACCCUCACAUCGUAGUGUGACCUCAACUGAAAGAAGACAGCCACAGAAUGCAGGCAUCCUUGAAAGUAAGGCUUUAGUUGUAGUUCAUAAAGAAGAAUGACUAAGAAUACUUUAGGUUACAAUAGGUGGUCCUGAUACAGAUAAGCUAUUCAUUUGAUGAGGCGCGUCUCAACCCAUUCGCCAAUUUAGCAG